UACAGAGGGUGCGAGCGUUAAUCGGAAUUACUGGGCGUAAAGCGCGCGUAGGCGGCUUUGCAAGUCGGGGUGUGAAAUCCCCAGGCUUAACCUGGGAACUGCAUUCGAGACUGCAUUGCUAGAGUAUGGGAGAGGUAAGCGGAAUUCCUGGUGUAGCGGUGAAAUGCGUAGAUAUCAGGAGGAACACCUGUGGUGUAGACAGCUUACUGGACCAUAACUGACGCUGAGGCACGAAAGCGUGGGUAGCAAACAGG
rnacentral:rRNA from 1 species